rnacentral:rRNA from 1 species
UACGGGGGGGGCAAGCGUUGUUCGGAAUUACUGGGCGUAAAGGGCGCGUAGGCGGUUCGUUAAGUCCUGUGUGAAAUCCCUCGGCUCAACUGAGGAACUGCACGGGAAACUGACGGGCUUGAGUUCGGGAGAGGGAAGCGGAAUUCCGGGUGUAGAGGUGAAAUUCGUAGAUAUUGGGAAGAACACCAAUGGCGAAGGCAGCUCACUGGGACGGUAUUGACGCUGAGACGCGAAAGCGUGGGGAGCAAACAGG